GGGGUUGUGGCUCAGUGGUAGAGUGCUUGCCUCACAUGCAUGGGGCACUGGGUUUGAUCCUCAGCACCA
rnacentral:tRNA from 1 species